rnacentral:miRNA from 1 species
CCUCUGAAGUUUCCCUCAGGAUAGCUGACACUUUCAAUUACGCAUAAAAGCCAUGCAGUUCUAUCUGGUAAAGCAAAAGAUUAGAGGUCUUGGGGCCAAAACGAUCUC